UACGGGGGGGGCAAGCGUUGUUCGGAAUUACUGGGCGUAAAGGGCGCGUAGGUGGCCCGCUCAGCGUGCGGUGAAAGCCUGGGGCUCAACCCCGGGUCGGCCGUGCGAACUGGUGGGCUCGAGCACUGUAGAGGCAGGCGGAAUUCCGGGUGUAGCGGUGGAAUGCGUAGAGAUCCGGAAGAACACCGGUGGCGAAGGCGGCCUGCUGGGCAGUAGCUGACACUGAGGCGCGACAGCGUGGGGAGCAAACAGG
rnacentral:rRNA from 1 species